CCUACGGGAGGCAGCAGUAGGGAAUCUUCCACAAUGGGCGAAAGCCUGAUGGAGCAACGCCGCGUGGGUGAAGAAGGUCUUCGGAUCGUAAAACCCUGUUGUUAGAGAAGAAAGUGCGUGAGAGUAACUGUUCACGUUUAGACGGUAUCUAACCAGAAAGCCACGGCUAAAUACGUGCCAGAAGCCGCGGUAAUACGUAGGUGGCAAGCGUUAUCCGGAGUUAUUGGGCGUAAAGGGAACGCAGGCGGUCUUUUAAGGCUGAUGUGAAAGCCGUCGGCUUAACCGGAGUAGUGCAUUGGAGACUGGGAGACUUGAGUGCAGAAGAGGAGAGUGGAACUCCAUGUGUAGCGGUGAAAUGCGUAGAUAUAUGGAAGAACACCAGUGGCGAAAGCGGCUCUCUGGUCUGUAACUGACGCUGAGGUUCGAAAGCGUGGGUAGCAAACAGGAUUAGAUACCCCAGUAGUC
rnacentral:rRNA from 1 species